rnacentral:lncRNA from 1 species
UGGCUGACUUAAUUGCUUUAUCAAUGAAUUUGCCAUAUUGUUCGUAGAGUCUGUUGGGUUCCGGUGGCACAGUGAAAGAGUUAGGUGUUUAAAAGUUUUAUUCAAAACAUCCAAUACACCGGAGGCCCUAAUGCCCAAAAACUCUUGACUAUAAUAAUUAAAGCAUAAUAAAUAUAAAUUAGGAUAAGAAGAAUAUCUGUAGUGCUAAUCUCAAUUUUCAUAAGGCAUUCAAGUGUCUG